rnacentral:lncRNA from 1 species
CUUCUUCUGAGCUGAUCUUCAUUUUCUAACAAUGAGAAGUGACAUUUCUGAAUUUCGCCAGCAGUGUGACCUGCUCGCUCCCAGGUGGCUGCAAAGGCCUUGGCACCCUCUCUCCGUGGCUGGGGGACGCUCUGGGCCAAGGACGUUUCCUGCCUCUGCGAACUGCGCCGCCGCAGCGAUACUCCUGCCCGCCGGGGGCUGCGCUGAUCUCUGCGGGAUGGAGACUCGGGAUGGGAAGGCCGGGCCAGUGUGCCGGGUACCGUUCACCUUCUGAAUCCCUGGCUUCUGUGUCCAUGAUUCAACCAACU